AUUGAACGCUGGCGGCAUGCUUUACACAUGCAAGUCGAACGGCAGCACGGGCUUCGGCCUGGUGGCGAGUGGCGAACGGGUGAGUAAUAUAUCGGAACGUACCCAGAAGUGGGGGAUAACGUAGCGAAAGUUACGCUAAUACCGCAUACGAUCUAUGGAUGAAAGCAGGGGACCGCAAGGCCUUGUGCUCCUGGAGCGGCCGAUAUCUGAUUAGCUAGUUGGUGAGGUAAAGGCUCACCAAGGCGACGAUCAGUAGCUGGUCUGAGAGGACGACCAGCCACACUGGAACUGAGACACGGUCCAGACUCCUAAGGGAGGCAGCAGUGGGGAAUUUUGGACAAUGGGCGCAAGCCUGAUCCAGCAAUGCCGCGUGAGUGAAGAAGGCCUUCGGGUUGUAAAGCUCUUUUGUCAGGGAAGAAACGGUAGAGGCUAAUAUCCUUUGCUAAUGACGGUACCUGAAGAAUAAGCACCGGCUAACUACGUG
rnacentral:rRNA from 1 species